GCCAGGAAGAUUUCUAAAGAAAUGCAAAUGCUAUUCAGAAUUCCCAACACACGCAGAGAACUUGCAACAGAUCUCAGAUGAUUGACGCAGAAUGUUCCAGAGGAUAAGAAAAAUCCACAGCUAAGGCUACUUUCUUUCCCCCUACAGCCAUUGAAAAAAACAGAUAUUGAGAUUGAAGCCACUGGAUUCACCGUGUUCUGUUGUCAAAGAAUAAAAAACUCAUCACUUUACUUAUCAAGAACGGGACAUUUGUUUUGAUUGCUAUUGUCAUGUGAUUAUGAUUA